rnacentral:rRNA from 1 species
UACGUAGGGGGCUAGCGUUGUCCGGAAUUAUUGGGCGUAAAGAGCGUGUAGGCGGUCCGGUAAGUCCGUUGUGAAAGUCAGGGGCUCAACCCUUGAAUGCCGGCGGAUACUGGCGGGCUAGAGUCCGGAAGAGGCGAGUGGAAUUCCCGGUGUAGCGGUGAAAUGCGCAGAUAUCGGGAGGAACACCUAUGGCGAAGGCAGCUCGCUGGGACGGUACUGACGCUGAGACGCGAAAGCGUGGGGAGCAAACAGG